CUGUAGAACAAACGCAUUUUAUUCCAUCCUAAUGAAUAGCUGGUGAUAACUUAUGAAAGAAUCCUUUGGAUAUAAAAUAUGAAUAAGGCAGAAGUUGCCUUCAUUUUAAGCAAUCUUGGUGUAAUGUUUUCACUUGCAACGAUUGGAUUGCUGAUAGCAUCACAAAUAAAGCAAAACUGGAUAUUAUAUGAAUUUGUGAUUAAUGGGUCAACCCAAGCAUUUAUUGCAAGCGUUGGGAUUAUAACCAUAACUUAUACAUUUACAACGACAGCGGAUAUCGGAAUCUGGAAUUAUUAUUUUUCAACCGUAUCAGUCUUUUCCCAUCAAGUUCCAGGUGUAGCAGAAGAUGGAACUAUAACUGGAACUAAAGAUUCAUCAACAAGUGGCUACUUUUCAGAAGAGGCAGUUAAAGCAUGCAGAGCAUUGGCAAUUAUAGCCACCAUAUCCACUUUUACUAAUGUUGUUAUCACAAUUGGAACUCUAAUAAUGACAACCGAAAACGAUUUGAAACUUAGACGAUCAACAAAACCGGACAUCGCAAUAUUAUCCACGGCAGGAUUUACAGUUUUUACAGCUACAUUAGCAUUAAUUGUUGUCCGAACCCAGUUUAAGGAUGGUAUGAGCAUAGAUACGUCCUUUUACAUCGCUAUAGCUGCGAAUAUCACGUGUGCGUUAGCGUUUUUCAUGUUUGCUACAACAUUCUUCCUUACACAUAAAUACGGUAAAAGAUCUUCAAUCUCCCAAGUUCUUCCUAUUAAAGAUGCCAAAGAACCAGUACUAUAAGAAAAUAGUGGACAGAAAUUAUAAGUCUUAAAUAUAUACAGAAAGGACCGCUUUUGUUACUUGAUUCUGUGAUGUGUUACCAUUGUUAAAUUAAAUUAAAGUUUUAACAGCUUCAA